GAGUUUGAUCCUGGCUCAGGAUGAACGCUGGCGGCGUGCUUAACACAUGCAAGUCGAACGGACGUAGCAAUACGUUAGUGGCGGACGGGUGAGUAACGCGUGAGCAAUCUGCCCAUGUCUGGGGGAUAACAGUUAGAAAUGACUGCUAAUACCGCAUAUGACCACAGGAAGGCAUCUUCCAGGGGUGAAAGAUUUAUCGGACAUGGAUGAGCUCGCGUCCCAUUAGGCAGUUGGCGGGGUAACGGCCCACCAAACCGACGAUGGGUAGCCGACCUUAGAGGGUGAUCGGCCACAUUGGAACUGAGACACGGUCCAAACUCCUACGGGAGGCAGCAGUGGGGAAUAUUGGGCAAUGGAGGCAACUCUGACCCAGCAACGCCGCGUGAACGAUGAAGGUCUUCGGAUUGUAAAGUUCUUUAAGUGGGGACGAAGAAAGUGACUGUACCCACAGAAUAAGCCUCGGCUAACUACGUGCCAGCAGCCGCGGUAAUACGUAGGAGGCAAGCGUUAUCCGGAAUGACUGGGCGUAAAGGGUGCGUAGGUGGUUUGGCAAGUUGGUAGCGU
rnacentral:rRNA from 1 species